CCCGCUGGCUUUGUGCGCGCUUGCAAUCCAGCUGUCGCCGCCCCACGAGCCCUCGCCCCCACGAGGGCGCACAUUUCCGGGCCGCCCACCACCCAGGUCGCACCGCGAGCCCAGAUCUGCUCCCGCCCGCUCGGUCCCGGUCCGGCCCCAGUCGCCCCCUGAAAUGCCGGUCGACUUUACCGGGUACUGGAAGAUGCUGGCCAACGAGAAUUUCGAGGAGUACCUGCGCGCGCUGGAUGUCAAUGUGGCCUUGCGCAAAAUCGCCAACUUGCUGAAGCCAGACAAAGAGAUCGUGCAGAACGGCGACCACAUGAUCAUCCGAACGCUGAGCACUUUUAGGAACUACAUCAUGGACUUCCAGGUUGGGGAGGAGUUUGAGGAGGAUCUGACGGGCAUAGACGACCGCAAGUGCAUGACCACGGUGAGCUGGGACGGGGACAAGCUCGAGUGUGUGCAGAAGGGCGAGAAGGAGGGACGUGGCUGGACCCAGUGGAUUGAGGGUGACGAGCUGCACCUGGUCUAGGCUGACCCACUUGUCCAAUCAGAGGGAGGAGGUGAGGAGAUGCAUCUGCUAAGCAUGAGAUGUGGAGCAUUCUGUAUCUCUUUCCAUUGUCUCAGCAGCCCGAUGGGCCAGGAGAUGAGAGUGCAGGGUGUGGUCUGCAAGCAAGUAUUCAAAAAGGUGAACUGAAGCCUGAACAUACCUUAGUCUCGAGGAAUGAGUGGCAUGGCUGGAGAGGGGGGGCAGGGUCCCCCUCUCUGCAUAGCAUGGGGCAGAGAUACAGCCUGCAUCUGUUAGCAGAGUCUGUCUCCUGGCUUUGUCUCUUUCCCUUUUCUUAAAACGAAGCCAUCCCAAUAAAAGUGGUCUCUGCUC